GUGCUAUACAAAUAGUUGAAGGUUAAUUAGCAGAGUAACUUCAUAUAGUAAUUCUGCCAGUCUCCUUCAGACAAUA
rnacentral:snoRNA from 14 species